GACGAACGCUGGCGGCGUGCUUAACACAUGCAAGUCGAACGGAAAGGCCCUGCUUUUGUGGGGUGCUCGAGUGGCGAACGGGUGAGUAACACGUGAGUAACCUGCCCUUGACUUUGGGAUAACUUCAGGAAACUGGGGCUAAUACCGGAUAGGAGCUCCUGCUGCAUGGUGGGGGUUGGAAAGUUUCGGCGGUUGGGGAUGGACUCGCGGCUUAUCAGCUUGUUGGUGGGGUAGUGGCUUACCAAGGCUUUGACGGGUAGCCGGCCUGGGAGGGUGACCGGCCACAUUGGGACUGAGAUACGGCCCAGACUCCUACGGGAGGCAGCAGUGGGGAAUAUUGCACAAUGGGCGGAAGCCUGAUGCAGCAACGCCGCGUGCGGGAUGACGGCCUUCGGGUUGUAAACCGCUUUCGCCUGUGACGAAGCAUGAGUGACGGUAAUGGGUAAAGAAGCACCGGCUAACUACGUG
rnacentral:rRNA from 1 species